CCCUAGUUUUAUUUUGCAAAAUCAACCAUUCAAGAUUUAACAACAAGGUCCUUCCACUCUAUUAAACUCUUCUUCAUAUUUGUCAACUACUACAUGGACAAGUAUCUGAUAACCUUUUUAAUUAUUUGUUUUGCUUCGGUGUUAGUUGCAGAACGAAUAAAAAUAUGUUUUCCAUCUACUGAUUGCCCUACGACUCCAGAGCUAUGUCAAAAAUUUUGUAAGAAUACACUUGGUGCUAUUGGUGGAUUUUGUAGAAAGGGAGAGGGUACAUGUUGUUGUAAUAAGACAUGAGAGAAGUUUUAUAAUAAUAUAGGUAGUAUAUCUAUUUGUUUGUACGUCUUUAAAAUUAUAAUGAAAAUAAAUUGAACAACGACGGGUUCUUUUCAUUUUUAA